UCGGCCCCGGCCCCCUCAGUACUUGCGAUCACCGUGGCGCUGUGGCUGGGCCCCUUUCGCGCGACCCGUUUAGCACCGUCUGGUGCGAGCAGUUAGGCUUCGCGACGCUUUCCCUCCCGGUUUCCUAAGGAUUCCCAGGCGGGUGGUUGAUGGAUUAGGGUUGAUUUGGAUCGCAGCCCAGAGUAGGUGGUAUACUUCAUCUAAAGCUAAAUACGACUACGAAUCCGAUAGCAAACAAGUACCGUGAGGGAAAGUUGCAAAGUACUUUGAAGAGAGAGUUCAAGAGGACGUGAAACCGGUAGGGUGGAAGCAGAUAAAGUUGACGAACGUGUGUCGUAUUCAGAACUACAAUUUGUGGUUUGUUUUUACGAUCGAUGUGGGCUGGCGUCUUUGGUUAACUUAGUGUCUGGCGGCAAUGGUGACCCUGCGGAGGGAUAAUCGGUUGUCGUGCGAUGCUUGGUAUGGCUAGAGGUUCGCUGGUCUUAUAGUCAUCGCUUUAUCUGACCCGUCUUGAAACACGGACCAAGGAGUGUAGCGCUUACGCGAGUCUUAGAGUGUGUCAAAACUUUGAGGCGUAACGAAAGUAAAUGUGGAUUUAUUCACUGACUUGGGAUGCGUUGUCUUUUUUGGAUAGCGUUGGACCAUGGUUUUAUCGUAAUCGCUUGCGAUGCGGUGAAAAUAGAGCGUAAGCGGUGCGACCCGAAAGAUGGUGAACUAUGCCUGAGCAGGAUGAAGCCGGAGGAAACUCUGGUGGAAGUCCGAAGCGGUUCUGACGUGCAAAUCGAUCGUCUGACUUGGGUAUAGGGGCGAAAGACUAAUCGAACCAUCUGGUAGCUGGUUUCCUCUGAAGUUUCCUCAAGGAUAGCUGAGGUGUGGAACUUUCAGAGGGAAACCAGCUACCCAGAUGGGUUUCGAUUAGCUCUUUCGACCCUAUACCCAAAGGUCAGACGAUCGAUUUUGCACGUCAGACUGCUUUCGGACUUCCACCGGAGUUUCUCGGCCUCCAUCCUGCUUCAAGCCAUAGUUACAAU
rnacentral:rRNA from 1 species